UAUCACCUGAGCAUCUCUAUGUAAAAAAGGAAGAUAUUUUACCUCACAAUCUCCUCAGCUCAGCAGAGUAAGUUCUGUGUAAAAAUGUAUACUCAGCUGCUCCUAGCUGCAGGUAAAAAAAAAAAAAAAAAUGAAGAAAUGAACAGCAGCCAAUCAGCAGUGCUGAGGUCAUGAACUCUUUUACUGUGAUCUCAUGAGAUUUCACUUAACUUUCAUGAGAUUUCAUAGCAAACUUCCUUUAAACUGAAUAGGGAAAUAAGAUGAGAGUGCACAUAAGCUCACUCCCUUAGCUGUCCCAGGACAGACAUACUGAUUUGCAGCUUAGAAAUCCUUUACAAUGGGAUGUGGCUACUGAGAAACUUUUGAGGAUGGUUUCAUUCUCAGGUUUUGUAAAGAAGCAGUGAAUGGGCAUACUACCUUUGGCUUACACCCCGCCCCCCCCACCACUCUUAUGCGAGGCCAGCUCCUGAGUGAGCACAGGUGUCGGGUGUCUACAAGUUCCUGACCGCUAAGCUUGCUCACUGUCAGGGACGCUGACGAGAG